rnacentral:rRNA from 1 species
UCAUUAACUGAAUCCAUAGGUUAAUGAGGCGAACCGGGGGAACUGAAACAUCUAAGUACCCCGAGGAAAAGAAAUCAACCGAGAUUCCCCCAGUAGCGGCGAGCGAACGGGGAGGAGCCCAGAGCCUGAAUCAGUGUGUGUGUUAGUGGAAGCGUCUGGAAAGGCGCGCGAUACAGGGUGACAGCCCCGUACACAAAAAUGCACAUGCUGUGAGCUCGAUGAGUAGGGCGGGACACGUGGUAUCCUGUCUGAAUAUGGGGGGACCAUCCUCCAAGGCUAAAUACUCCUGACUGACCGAUAGUGAACCAGUACCGUGAGGGAAAGGCGAAAAGAACCCCGGCGAGGGGAGUGAAAAAGAACCUGAAACCGUGUACGUACAAGCAGUGGGAGCACGCUUAGGCGUGUGACUGCGUACCUUUUGUAUAAUGGGUCAGCGACUUAUAUUCUGUAGCAAGGUUAACCGAAUAGGGGAGCCGAAGGGAAACCGAGUCUUAACUGGGCGUUAAGUUGCAGGGUAUAGACCCGAAACCCGGUGAUCUAGCCAUGGGCAGGUUGAAGGUUGGGUAACACUAACUGGAGGACCGAACCGACUAAUGUUGAAAAAUUAGCGGAUGACUUGUGGCUGGGGGUGAAAGGCCAAUCAAACCGGGAGAUAGCUGGUUCUCCCCGAAAGCU